GAUGAACGCUGGCGGCGUGCCUAAUACAUGCAAGUCGAGCGAACGGACGAUAAGCUUUCUUCUCUGAUGUUAGCGGCGGACGGGUGAGUAACACGUGGAUAACCUACUUAUAAGACUGGGAUAACUUCGGGAAACCGGAGCUAAUACCGGAUGAUAUUUUGAACCGCAUGGUUCAAAAGUGAAAGACGGUCUUGCUGUCACUUAUAGAUGGAUCCGCGCUGCAUUAGCUAGUUGGUAAGGUAACGGCUUACCAAGGCAACGAUGCAUAGCCGACCUGAGAGGGUGAUCGGCCACACUGGAACUGAGACACGGUCCAGACUCCUACGGGAGGCAGCAGUAGGGAAUCUUCCGCAAUGGGCGAAAGCCUGACGGAGCAACGCCGCGUGAGUGAUGAAGGUCUUCGGAUCGUAAAGCUCUGUUAUUAGGGAAGAACAUAUGUGUAAGUAACUGCGCACAUCUUGACGGUACCUAAUCAGAAAGCAACGGCUAACUACGUG
rnacentral:rRNA from 1 species